UACGAGGGGGGCAAGCGUUGUUCGGAAUUACUGGGCGUAAAGGGCGCGUAGGUGGUUCUGUAUGUCUACCGUGAAAGCAUACAGCUCAACUGUAUUUUGUCGGUAGAAACUGCAGGACUUGAGGCUGGGAGGGGCUGGUGGAAUUCCCUGUGUAGCGGUGAAAUGCGUAGAGAUGGGGGAGAACACUCGUGGCGAAGGCGGGACUCUGGGCCGAUACUGACGCUGAGGAGCGAAAGCGUGGGGAGCAAACAGG
rnacentral:rRNA from 1 species